rnacentral:rRNA from 1 species
UACGUAGGUGACAAGCGUUGUCCGGAUUUACUGGGCGUAAAGAGCGCGCAGGCGGUCGUUCAAGUCGAGUGUGAAAGCCCCCGGCUCAACUGGGGAGGGUCACUCGAUACUGAUCGACUCGAAGGCAGGAGAGGGAAGUGGAAUUCCCGGUGUAGUGGUGAAAUGCGCAGAUAUCAGGAGGAACACCGGUGGCGAAGGCGGGUCUCUGGGCAACAACUGACGCUGAGGAGCGAAAGCGUGGGGAGCGAACAGG